AUCGAUUCACGCUAAGCAUCAUAUAUAUUUAAUUAUAAAUUUCAAGUUUAUGUAAUCAAUUCUAUAUUUUACUCUUUUACUUUAAAGUUACCCCUUUUCAUUUUUUCAAAUUUCAUCACAAUAAUCUAUCCUUAUUUCAUAGUUUCACUUUAAGGCGUCAAACUCACACUAACAACAGCGGAUGAUGCGUCGUUACUUAAGCUUUCAACUGCGACCUCAUCGGAUUCUCUGUCCACGUCAUCACCGACAUUGAGAUCAUUCAAUGAGCUACCAAUAUAUGAAUUGGCCGCCGUCCUCAAAUCAUAGUGCUCCACCGGAACCCUACUCCCCAUUCACUUCACUGCCCUACAGAAAAACCAUUUCUAAUCAUGCACUGAUUAGUGAUUAUCCAUGUGAAGAAAAGAGGGUUUAACGGCUACACAGACCUGUUUACCUUAGUGUGCCGAGCCUGUCGCUAGAUUAGUAAAAACCCCAAAGCAAGAAACCUAGCCCGCCCACUGAUGUCCGUACCAGCUUCCAAGCCGGCAAACUCGCUUUGCAGAAAUUUCAGAAGAGAGAGAGAGAAAGGGUGGAUCGGAUGCUAUAUGAAGUUUACUUUUCUUUUUCCGUUUUUUCUUUUUUCUUACUUUUAUUUCAACCCCAAC
rnacentral:lncRNA from 1 species